AGACGCUGGCGGCGUGCCUAAUACAUGCAAGUUGAACGCAACAAAGACACCAGAGCUUGCUCUACCGUCUUUGUUGAGUAGCGAACGGGUGAGUAACGCGUGGGUAACCUGCCUUAUAGCGGGGGAUAACUAUUGGAAACGAUAGCUAAUACCGCAUAACAAUAGAGAUUGCAUAAUCUUUAUUUGAAAGUGCCAACUGGUACACUAUGAGAUGGACCCGCGUUGUAUUAGCUAGUUGGUAGUGUAAUGGACUACCAAGGCGAUGAUACAUAGCCGACCUGAGAGGGUGAUCGGCCACAUUGGGACUGAGACACGGCCCAAACUCCUACGGGAGGCAGCAGUAGGGAAUCUUCGGCAAUGGACGAAAGUCUGACCGAGCAACGCCGCGUGAGUGAAGAAGGUUUUCGGAUCGUAAAACUCUGUUGUUAGAGAAGAAUGUUGAUUAGAGUGGAAAAUUAAUCAAGUGACGGUAUCUAACCAGAAAGGGACGGCUAACUACGUG
rnacentral:rRNA from 1 species